rnacentral:lncRNA from 1 species
AUGGCAGCAAGAACCGUGCAGGGCCUUAGAAGAGACAGAGCAGAGCGGGACAGCAGCAGAGACCCACAUGGGUUGACGUGGCCCCCAACUCCACGGCAUGCUGACCAGGAAGCCCCGGACAAGAGAGAGCCCAGCAAAUCAACAGAGCCUUGCGACUGCCCUGCAUGCUGGAUGUUGCUGAGAAGCAAGUGGAUGGGAAGCCGCGACACGAGGCACCAAGGUGAGAGCAUCCUUAGGCAGGUGGGGAGUGAGGAGCAGGGGCUGGGACUACCCAAAGCCCGGGAGGAUGAGAAGAAUCCAGGACUGGGGAGACUGGGCCAGGGGGAAGAGUCCAGGGUAUCCUGAGCGGGAGGGCUCUGACACUAAGAAAUCCUCUGGGGGGUUUGUAGAUCCUCAUGGGGGUCUCUAGGGCCUGGACAUGGUGAGCAAGUUAGAUCAGGAAUAAGUGAGCAUGAGACGAAAUAUACUGGAUCCUGGUUCUCCAGGUGUGGCCCCUGGAUGGGCAGCCUCGGUGUCACUUGGGAACUUGAAGGAAAUGUGCAUUCUUGAGCCUCUGAAUCAGAAACUCUAGGUUGUGGUGCCUGUAGGGGACCCCGGUGAAGCUCAAGCUGGAGUCUUGGCUGGG